AUGGGCUCCCUGCGAAGCAGCACGAGCGCGGCGGUGGAGAGCGUGGACGCGGAGGCGGCGUGUGGGCUGCUGGCCUCGGAGCAGUACGGGUACGUGGACGUGCGGAUGUGGGAGGACUUCGAAAAGGGCCAUGUCGCCGGUGCACGCAACGUGCCCUACUACCUCUCCGUCACACCCCAUGGCAAGGAGCGCAACCCGGACUUCGUCGACCAGGUUGCGGCGCUCCACUCCAAGGAGGACCGGUUCCUUGUUGGCUGCCGCUCUGGGGUCCGGUCCAGGCUCGCCACCGCAGACCUCGUCGCUGCUGGGUUCGCGAACGUGAAGAACCUGCAAGGCGGUUACCUCUCCUUGCUCAAGAGUACCAGUUACCCGCAGCCGCAAGCAGCAAGCCACCAAUGA
rnacentral:rRNA from 1 species